CAGGUGCUGUCACUGGCUGUCGUCAGCUCGUGUCGUGAGAUGUUCGUUAAGUCCGCUAACGAGCGCAACCCUCGCUGUGUGUUAUAUGUGUCACACGGGACUGCCGGUCUUAAGCCGGAGGAAGGUGGGGAUGAUGUCAAGUCAGCAUGGCCUUUAUAUCCUGGGCUACACACACGCUACAAUGGCCAACACAAUAGGUUGCUAAGCCGCGAGGUGGCGCCAAUCCAUAAAGUUGGUCUCAGUUCAGAUUGUAGGCUGCAACCCGCCUGCAUGAAGAUGGAGUUGCUAGUAACCGCAGGUCAGCUAUACUGCGGUGAAUACGUUCCCGGGGCUU
rnacentral:rRNA from 1 species